UAAGUGACUAAGCGUACACGGUGGAUGCCUUGGCAGUCAGAGGCGAUGAAAGACGUAGUAACUUGCGAUAAGCCCAGAUUAGGUAGUAACAACCAUUUGAGUCUGGGAUUUCUGAAUGGGGAAACCCACUUACAUAAGUAAGUAUCAUUAACUGAAUACAUAGGUUAAUGAGGCGAACCGGGGGAACUGAAACAUCUAAGUACCCCGAGGAAAAGAAAUCAACCGAGAUUCCGAAAGUAGCGGCGAGCGAAAUUGGACUAGCCCUUAAGCUUUACACGCGUUAGACGAACGGUCUGGAAAGUCCGACGAUACAGGGUGAUAGUCCCGUAGUUGACGACGUGUGUUCAGUGAAAUCGAGUAGGGCGGGACACGUGAUAUCCUGUCUGAAUAUGGGGGGACCAUCCUCCAAGGCUAAAUACUACUGACUGACCGAUAGUGAACCAGUACCGUGAGGGAAAGGCGAAAAGAACCCCUGUGAGGGGAGUGAAAUAGAACCUGAAACCGUGUACGUACAAGCAGUAGGAGCAGGCUUGUCCUGUGACUGCGUACCUUUUGUAUAAUGGGUCAGCGACUUAUAUUCAGUGGCAAGGUUAACCAUCUAGGGGAGCCGUAGGGAAACCGAGUCUUAACUGGGCGUUCAGUCUCUGGAUAUAGACCCGAAACCAGGUGAUCUAGCCAUGGGCAGGUUGAAGGUUGAGUAACAUCAACUGGAGGACCGAACCGACUAAUGUUGAAAAAUUAGCGGAUGACUUGUGGCUAGGGGUGAAAGGCCAAUCAAACCUGGAGAUAGCUGGUUCUCCCCGAAAGCUAUUUAGGUAGCGCCUCGGACGAAUACUACUGGGGGUAGAGCACUGUUAAGGCUAGGGGGUCAUCCCGACUUACCAACCCUUUGCAAACUCCGAAUACCAGUAAGUACUAUCCGGGAGACACACGGCGGGUGCUAACGUCCGUCGUGGAGAGGGAAACAACCCAGACCGCCAGCUAAGGUCCCAAAUUACUACUAAGUGGGAAACGAUGUGGGAAGGCUCAGACAGCCAGGAUGUUGGCUUAGAAGCAGCCAUCAUUUAAAGAAAGCGUAAUAGCUCACUGGUCGAGUCGGCCUGCGCGGAAGAUGUAACGGGGCUAAGUAGUAAACCGAAGCUGCGGCAAUAUACUUUUGUAUAUUGGGUAGGGGAGCGUUCUGUAAGCGGUUGAAGGUGUGUGGUAACGCAUGCUGGACGUAUCAGAAGUGCGAAUGCUGACAUGAGUAACGAUAAAGGGGGUGAAAAACCUCCUCGCCGGAAGACCAAGGGUUCCUGUCCAACGUUAAUCGGGGCAGGGUAAGUCGACCCCUAAGGCGAGGCCGAAAGGCGUAGUCGAUGGGAAACGGGUUAAUAUUCCCGUACUUCUUACAAUUGCGAUGGGGGGACGGAGAAGGCUAGGUGGGCCUGGCGACGGUUGUCCAGGUUCAAGUGCGUAGGCUUAAGAGUUAGGUAAAUCCGGCUCUUUUUAAGGCUGAGACACGACGUCGAGCUACUACGGUAGUGAAGUCAUUGAUGCCAUGCUUCCAGGAAAAGCCUCUAAGCUUCAGAUUGUAAGGAAUCGUACCCCAAACCGACACAGGUGGUCGGGUAGAGAAUACCAAGGCGCUUGAGAGAACUCGGGUGAAGGAACUAGGCAAAAUGGUACCGUAACUUCGGGAGAAGGUACGCUCUCGACGGUGAAGUCCCUCGCGGAUGGAGCUAUUGAGAGUCGCAGAUACCAGGUGGCUGCAACUGUUUAUUAAAAACACAGCACUGUGCAAAAUCGUAAGAUGACGUAUACGGUGUGACGCCUGCCCGGUGCCGGAAGGUUAAUUGAUGGGGUUAGACUUCGGUCGAAGCUCUUGAUCGAAGCCCCGGUAAACGGCGGCCGUAACUAUAACGGUCCUAAGGUAGCGAAAUUCCUUGUCGGGUAAGUUCCGACCUGCACGAAUGGCGUAAUGAUGGCCACGCUGUCUCCACCCGAGACUCAGUGAAAUUGAAAUCGCUGUGAAGAUGCAGUGUACCCGCGGCUAGACGGAAAGACCCCGUGAACCUUUACUACAGCUUGGCACUGAACAUUGACCCUACAUGUGUAGGAUAGGUGGGAGGCUUUGAAGCACGUACGCCAGUAUGUGUGGAGCCGUCCUUGAAAUACCACCCUUGUAGUGUUGAUGUUCUAACGUCGACCCCUUAUCGGGGUUGCGGACAGUGCCUGGUGGGUAGUUUGACUGGGGCGGUCUCCUCCCAAAGAGUAACGGAGGAGCACGAAGGUGGGCUAAUCACGGUUGGACAUCGUGAGGUUAGUGCAAUGGCAUAAGCCCGCUUGACUGCGAGAAUGACAAUUCGAGCAGGUGCGAAAGCAGGUCAUAGUGAUCCGGUGGUUCUGAAUGGAAGGGCCAUCGCUCAACGGAUAAAAGGUACUCCGGGGAUAACAGGCUGAUACCGCCCAAGAGUUCAUAUCGACGGCGGUGUUUGGCACCUCGAUGUCGGCUCAUCACAUCCUGGGGCUGAAGUCGGUCCCAAGGGUAUGGCUGUUCGCCAUUUAAAGUGGUACGCGAGCUGGGUUUAGAACGUCGUGAGACAGUUCGGUCCCUAUCUGCCGUGGGCGUUGGAAGAUUGAAGGGGGCUGCUCCUAGUACGAGAGGACCGGAGUGGACGAACCUCUGGUGUUCGGGUUGUGUCGCCAGACGCAUUGCCCGGUAGCUAAGUUCGGAAUCGAUAACCGCUGAAAGCAUCUAAGCGGGAAGCGAGCCCUGAGAUGAGUCUUCCCUGAUACUUUAAGUAUCCUAAAGGGUUGUCGGAGACUACGACGUUGAUAGGUCAGGUGUGUAAGUGCUGUGAGGCAUUGAGCUAACUGAUACUAAUUGCCCGUGAGGCUUAACCA
rnacentral:rRNA from 1 species